rnacentral:misc_RNA from 1 species
GCAAACUUGGUCAUUUAGAGGAAGUAAAAGUCGUAACAAGGUUUCCGUAGGUGAACCUGCGGAAGGAUCAUUACAAAGUACCGGCCAGCAAUGGUCGCCGCUGUAGGCUGCUCUCGGGCCCCGCCCGUUGCAGUUGACAGUCUACCCUCUGUGAAAACCCCACGUUGCUUCGGCAGCUCUUUCCCUGUUUGCGGGGAAGGGUCAGCCUGCCGGCGGCACCCCCAGGAAACUCUUUAUUGAAAGGCAGCAUUGACGACGUCUGAGAACGCAGUCGAAUGACACUUAAAACUUUCAGCAACGGAUCUCUUGGUUCCCGCAUCGAUGAAGAACGCAGC